rnacentral:rRNA from 1 species
UAGGGAAUCUUCGGCAAUGGACGAAAGUCUGACCGAGCAACGCCGCGUGAGUGAAGAAGGUUUUCGGAUCGUAAAACUCUGUUGUUAGAGAAGAACAAGGACGUUAGUAACUGAACGUCCCCUGACGGUAUCUAACCAGAAAGCCACGGCUAACUACGUGCCAGCAGCCGCGGUAAUACGUAGGUGGCAAGCGUUGUCCGGAUUUAUUGGGCGUAAAGCGAGCACAGGCGGUUUCUUAAGUCUGAUGUGAAAGCCCCCGGCUCAACCGGGGAGGGUCAUUGGAAACUGGGGGACUUGAGUGCAGAAGAGGAGAGUGGAAUUCCAUGUGUAGCGGUGAAAUGCGUAGAUAUAUGGAGGAACACCAGUGGCGAAGGCGGCUCUCUGGUCUGUAACUGACGCUGAGGCUCGAAAGCGUGGGGAGCAAACAGG